rnacentral:lncRNA from 1 species
CGGGGAUAUGAGCGAAUAUUGAACUGCACGUAAAGUAGAUGAGACACAGCAUUUAACGAGGUUCGGCUAUGCCUACGUCCUCGGAGAGCAGCAACAGUAACCUUUCAUUCAUAACAUAAUAUGGUUACAACUCUAGUGUUUACAAUAUGUAUGCUCACCUAAUUUUCUCUCUAGGAGAAUUUCUCUUUGCUCUCUUUCUCUUCACACACUCACCCUCUUUCUUCCUUCCCUUCAUCUUCUCUCAUUUCAUCUCACAUUACAAGCAAAUAGAAUGCCUAUUUAUAGGCAAAGCAAAUGGCUUGGUUUGGUGUGUGUGUGUGAUUUGGUUUGGUAGGUAUGAGGUUUGGUUUGAUGGGUGUGUGGUUUGAUUUGGUGGGUGUGUGGUUUGAUUUUGUGUUCAACUUGAAUGUUAGAGCAUGUGUUGAACUUGAAUGUUAGUUUGCAAUGUGGGCUUCACCCAUUUUACAACACUCCCCCUUGGAGACUACAUGUCCCUAGAUUGGUUGCCUCAUUAAAACCUUGCUUGGAGAAAACCUAGUGAGGUAGAAAACUGAUGGAAGGAAGAAAGAAGAGUAUAACAAUCUGUAUAGCAUACUUCUGGAUGCUCCCCCUGAUUAAUAUCUCCCCCUAAUGUCUUUAUGACUCUCUUUUGGAGUGAGAAUCUUUUGGAGUGAGUGGAGGAUGUAGCCAUUAAUAAUUCUCGUAGUUGAGUAAGUAAAUAUAUUUCCAGUGAGCUAUCUCUAUGUGAAUCAUAAAAUUUUUCAGAGUCCGCGUUUCCAGCAAAACUUGGGCUAUUUGUAAGUUCACUUGAAAGAAUAUGCCCAUACAUAGUGUUAUGUGGAAAUAGCAUCAAAUAUACCUCACAUCAUCCCAAAAUGAUGGAGUUGAGCUCUAUCUGGAAAAUACGAUGUCCGGUCCAAUAUACGUCCGGAAAAUCCUUCAAGUGGCCAACGGAUAAUCUGCAUAAAAAUGCUUCAAUACUUUCUUAGUAUAAGCAAUAAUCUCGUUGGCAUAAUGCUCGAUCUUUCAGUCGAGACAAAUAUUUCUGGAACUCUUGAGAAGCUUUAAUGUGUUUGCAAACAUAUUAAUGUACUCACUGAGGCAAUUUAUGCAUAUUAGUAUUGAGUACGGAUUUUGUACUUCAGGUACAUGUCAUUCAGGGACUUGCUUCAUGCAAUUUCAAUCCUUUCAAGGAUUUUGUUUAAAGGGAUUAAACUUUAUGACACAUUAUAUAGCU